AUGAGCAGAAAAGGAGAAGACCAAGAGCACAGGAAAAAGAGCCAACAGACAUGUCAAAAAGAACUGAAGUCUGCCUCUUCUACUUCUCUUUUAAAGUUGCUUUGGUUUCCUUUUGUCCUCUUUCCAAGCCUGUUCAAGUCUGAGAUAGAUGAAAAGAGCAGCCAAAGAAACAGAUCUGUUGAAGCAUCAAUUGGAAAUGAUGGGAGGGUUGGAGGAGGAGCACAGCUGGAUGACUACAUUAGAUUGUGGCAUAUGAGGUCACUUUAUCUGUUGAAGCAUCAAUAGGAAAGGAUGAAAGGGAGGGACGCAGGAAGAGGAAAACACAGAAGAGCAGAUGAGGAGCACUCUAUGUUCUGCUUCCAUGUGGAUUGACAGCAUUGCUUUCAUGAGCUCCUGGAGGACACCAUGGAGGAAGAGGGAGAGGGUCUAUGAUAGACAGUUUGCCA